UACGUAGGGGGCAAGCGUUGUCCGGAAUUAUUGGGCGUAAAGAGCUCGUAGGCGGCUUGUUGCGUCGACUGUGAAAACCCGCGGCUUAACUGCGGGCUUGCAGUUGAUACGGGCAGGCUAGAGUUCGGUAGGGGAGACUGGAAUUCCUGGUGUAGCGGCGAAAUGCGCAGAUAUCAGGAGGAACACCGGUGGCGAAGGCGGGUCUCUGGGCCGAAAUUGACGCUGAGGAGCGAAAGCGUGGGGAGCAAACAGG
rnacentral:rRNA from 1 species